GGUGCUUUAAAUCGUACUACUAUUAAAUUAUAUUCAAUGGCAAAUAUUGAAAGAGCUAUAAAAGCCGUUCUAGCGAAAAGAGAGCUUGAAUAUUCGUUAAAAGACGAGACAUUCAAAUGUGUCUCGGCCAUUGUAAAAUGGUGAAGAUGUUUUGGUUGUUUUCCCAACAGGUUAUGGGCUUAUUAUGGCAAAUAUUAAAAUAUUUCAGCUGCUACCUGACGUGUACGACAUGUUACUUGGCGUAACUAAUUCUAUCGUGAUAGUCAUAUCUCCACAUGAAUGACCAACGCAUUUCUGCAUGCAUGUCAAAGUAUGAUUAUGAUACAAGGGUAACAAGUCCAUUCUGUGCUACACUAUACUAUACUAUAUUUGGUGAUGGCAGCGAUAUCAAAUUACCAUUGGAUCCACAUGAGAACCCAACGUAUAAGCUGUUCUAUAUGCACCCAGAAAUGUGUGUCUAUGACAAGAAAAUACAAGCUUUUUUCAACUGUAUACUGUAAACCUCUGAAUAUAAUGCUCACCUCAUUCCACAUAUAAGCCCCCCUGAAUAUAAGUUCCCUGAAUAUAAUCCCAGUAUAUGUUAUUUAACGUUGACAUUGUCUUUUAAUAUAGCAGAGAACGAUAUUAAAAACACUGUCAUUGUCUUUAUAGCUUACUAUGUUAAUCGAAGUGUGUUAUUAAUACAUGUUUAUUUUCCUGUUUAUGACUGACUUGUUUAUUACUAACACAAUUGAUCGUCCAUGUAUAAGGCCCCCGUGCAUAUAAGCCCCCCCCCCCUAAGCCCAUCAAAAAUCGCUUACAAAAGAAUAUAAGACCAGGGCUUAUAGUCAGAGGUUUACGGUAUUAUUUAUCACAUAUUUUAGCAAUGGGUCAUUCCAGAAAACAUCCAUACCACCCCCACAGAGGAAAUUGGAAGUUAACCCCCUACCCCCUUCGGAUGUCCUAAUACAUUUACUAUUAUCAGAAACAAUGUUAUCUCCCCUCCCCCUCCGGACGGCAGAAAUUUCCUCCGUGGGGGGACUGUGGAUCUUUUCUGGAACGACCCAAUAAACACAUUUUUUAUAUUAUAUUACAUUAACAUAUAUACAUGGAGCACAUAUGAAGUUUUUAAAAUUUAAAUGACAGUACAUUGUGUUUGUAAUUAUAAUUACUAUAAUUACUUGUGUUGAAAGUAAAUGAAGUGAACAAAUCCAUAUAUAUUUGUUGAAAAUUUGUUGCAGUGGGUAUCUUCCAUUUGUUUUUCAUGCUUCACACUGUGUAUCUUUGAACAUUUAAUCAGCAACUAAUUAUAGGCAAGGAUAUAUUUACUAGCUCAUUUCUCCAUAUUACCAGGUACAUAACAUGCAAAUUAUACAUCAACCUUGCAAUCCAGGCUUUAACCCCUGCAGUUGCCACUCUCCUGCAGCAUGUUUGGGAAGGGAGAGGAAGGAAUGGAGGUACUGUAAUUUCUAUAUUUAGCCCCC